UUAAAAGACAUGAAAGCAGAAAUCGAGUCAAAGUCAAAACAAGACGAGGAGUUCCAAAUUACGAUGCUGAAUAAGACUAAACAAGCGGCUGAGAGGGAGGAUGAGUUUAGACGCCUGGUUCUGGCUCAGCUUAACAAAAUGCAGGACCUGCACAGGAAGAAGGCUGACAGCGAACAUAAAGCGAAUUAAGGAAAGGAGCCGUUAAGUGAACACGAUACAUAAUUGACAAUACUGUAUCUAGACCAGUUGGAAAAAGAGAGUUCUAGCACUAGGGGUCUGUAUGAACGAUGUCUAUUUUAGUUCUAUAGAAUAGCUUUAAUAUAUUCACAAUUCCAUUGUGAGUGUUUUUGCCGAAUUAUGUAUAACGUCCUACAACUACGAACUAUUGAAGUGAAUUAAUAUGAAUCUACUGGAGCAUAUCGUGAACAAUUAUGUAUUCAAUAAUACGAUGGCGUAUUUGCAGUGUAUAUACGGAUUGGUGUGAGUGCAAAUGACAAGAGAGAAUGGUAAAAACUAACAACAACAGCUUCGUUACAAUUGUUAGCCAAAAGAUAGUGUGUGAUAAUAUGACGAAUCACGUUAUUACUGGCACAUUUGUCAAUGUAUACGUAAAUUGUACAUGAUAUUGGCUGUGCACAUGUAUCAUUGUCUGAAUCUUAGUUUAUGGUGUAUGUUGUACUUAUUUGUACUAUAACGUGAUAAAAUUUAUGUAUGUAAAGAAAGACCUCACUUAACGCAUGCUUUGUAUAUCUUAUUAUUGUUGUACAUUUCACAGUGAAGUUGUAUAGUGUUGGUAGUGGAAGAAUGUGAGUGUUAGGUGACUGUUUUUGGUACUGAUUUCAUACUAUCUGAUAAUAUAAUUAUUUAAAACGUGAACUGAUUUUUCAUUGCAAAUGCACAUUUUCUAAAAAGAAAUAUUGAUGUUCAUGGCAUACAAUGAUAGCGAUCAGUUGUUUAACUACCUUUUUGACACUUUUUAAACGCUGUCGAUAUUGUUUGCCUGUUAUUGUUACUUCAUAACGUGUGUGCGUUUUUUGGUAUGUUUAGGAGUCCUUUAUUUACACAAAUUUCCAUAUUUCAUAAGCAUGUAAAUGUUUAUUUGUCCUUUGAUCGUUGUAUCUAGGCACACAUAUUAUUGCAGUAAUAUGCAUUUAUUCAACAUUCUGUAGAAUUAGAUGGUUUUAACAACACAAUCAUCAUUUCAAUAGCACAACAGCGUUUAUUAUGCCCCAAAUACUUAUUCUAAUAAUACCAAUACUAACAUAUACUCUGUUACCUGUUUCGGGCAUUAAGAAGCAGGGGCCGAAUAAUCCCAACACUAAAAUAAACAUUUUAAUCUGUUUGAUGAAUUUAAAAACUGGGGCUUGAUUGAAUCAUACAAAACUUGUAACAAACAAAGUCCGCCUGAUGCACAUAACUGUAAGUGUGUUUCUCCAUACUAUUUUGACAUUACUUUAAAUUCUCGAAUCCGUCGUUGUGCUCCCUUUGAAAUGCAUAUAGCAUUAUUUUCACUAUACCAUACAAUAUCCAUUUGAAGCAGAUGAAAAUAAAAGUAUAUUAAAAAUUUGCAUUCUUGAAUUGCAUAUGGCGGUGCAUGUUCUUCAUAUACACUGUAAAUGUUAUUCAUAUAACAGUUUUAAUGAACAGAUAUAUUUUAUGCAAAUCAUUGUU